rnacentral:misc_RNA from 1 species
GAUGAAGAACGUAGCGAAAUGCGAUAAGUAAUGUGAAUUGCAGAAUUCAGUGAAUCAUCGAAUCUUUGAACGCACAUUGCGCCCGUCAGUAUUCUGGCGGGCAUGCCUGUUCGAGCGUCGUUACGCCCCUCAAGUCCCCUGUGGACUUGGUGUUGGGGAUCGGCGAGGCUGGUUUUCCAGCACAGCCGUCCCUUAAAUUAAUUGGCGGUCUCGCCGUGGCCCUCCUCUGCGCAGUAGUAAAACACUCGCAACAGGAGCCCGGCGCGGUCCACUGCCGUAAAACCCCCCAACUUUUUAUAGUUGACCUCGAAUCAGGUAGGACUACCCGCUGAACUUAAGCAUAUCAAUAAGCGGAGGA